rnacentral:tRNA from 1 species
GGCUCGUAGCUCAUCGGUAGAGCAGAGGACUGAAAUCUCGUUCGGCGGUUCGAUUCCGUCCCGAACCACCA